UACGUAGGGGGCUAGCGUUGUCCGGAAUCAUUGGGCGUAAAGAGCGUGUAGGCGGUCCGGUAAGUCCGCUGUGAAAGUCGGGGGCUCAACCCUCGAAUGCCGGUGGAUACUGUCGGGCUAGAGUGCGGAAGAGGCGAGUGGAAUUCCUGGUGUAGCGGUGAAAUGCGCAGAUAUCAGGAGGAACACCGGUGGUGCAGACGGCUCUCUGGACCGUAACUGACGCUGAGACACGAAAGCGUGGGUAGCAAACAGG
rnacentral:rRNA from 1 species